AUUGAACGCUGGCGGCAGGCCUAACACAUGCAAGUCGAACGAGUGGCGGACGGGUGAGAGAUACCUGGGAAACUGCUCGACGGAGGGGGGUAACUACUGGAAACGGUGACUAAUAACGCCUCCCAUCGGAUGUGCCCCGAUGGGAGUAGCUUGUAGGUGAGGAAAAGGCUCACCUAGGCGAGGAUCCCUAGCGGGUCUGAGAGGAUGACCAGCCACACGGGAACGGAGACACGGUCAAGACUCCUACGGGAGGAAGCAGUGGGGAAUAUUGCAAAAUGGGCGCAAGCCUGAUGCAGCCAUGCCGCGUGUAUGAAGAAGCCCUUCGGGUUGUAAAGUACGUUCAGCGGGGAGGCGUUACCCGCAGAAGAAGCACCGGCUAACUCCGUGCCAGCAGCCGCGGUAAUUC
rnacentral:rRNA from 1 species